GCUGGAUUGGGCAGGAGGAUUGUGGGGGAAGGUGGGGGGCAAAUUCUGCCUCUGCAUGGAGCCACCAGCAUGGACAUGGUCCACUGCCUGGAGUUUGAUCAGCAGAGCCCUCUCGUCGGCAGGGAGGCCAGGAACUCCCUUGUUCCAGGUGGUGAGGAGGCUCCCCAUCUGUGUAGCAUCCUCUUGUGGAGAGUGAGCUGGGGCUCGCCUCACACAGGGAGCUUCCGAGCCAGCAAAGAUGCCAAACAGCGAGUGCAGCGAGUGUUUGGGGGAAAUGAAUAAAUGGACUUGUGCAGGAGCGAGUGACAUGUGCUAGAGGCUAGGAUUUACCUGUGACCAGGAGCUGAUCCCAGGACCUGAUUCUUCAGCUUCACCUCUUGCACUCAAGAAUGCUGCCAGGCCUGAGUUCUUCGCCUUGGGUGUCCAUGCGCUGUCUCUUUGAAGUCAAAGGAGAAAGCUUUCACCUAACCUGUAGAGCCUACAUCUGUGCCGAGAGUGAUGCCACACAAACUUCCUGUCUUUCCACAUCAGGGGUUCUGGGACUAAGGAAUGGUCUCCGCCCUGAGCCUCCCCUUCUGGGAUCCACCACCCAGGAGAUGCUACUCAGUAGCUAAGUUCAUGAGCCAAGUAUGGAGAAGAGAAUGGAUUGCUACCCACCUCCCAAGUCCUCCCCUGCCCUGCCAGCUCCCCCUGCUGAAAGGGGGGCAGCGACCUGAACACUGCAGACGGAGUGGC
rnacentral:lncRNA from 1 species